CAACCCCAAGCCCUAGCUCUGGCAUGAACAAGUGUCCCAAAGACACUCUCAAGCUCGGUGUCUGCGCCAAUGUGCUUAACGGCCUCCUCGACUUGACUCUCGGCAAGCCACCGGUCGAGCCAUGCUGCAGCCUCAUCCAAGGACUCGCUGAUGUUGAAGCAGCCGUUUGUCUCUGCACCGCCCUUAAGGCUAACGUUCUUGGAAUCAACUUGAACCUCCCAAUCUCUCUAAGUCUGCUCCUUAAUGUUUGCAGCAAACAAGUUCCUCCCGGCUUCCAGUGCUAAUCAACCAUAUUCAUAUAUAAUUUAAACACACUUAUGUGUAUAUUUAUCUUCUUGUUUUGGACAGGCAAGGUGAUUCUAUAUACUGUACUCUUAUUUAUUGUGCCUUUUUAUAUUUGUGAGUUCUUAUUCUAUUCUUCUUCUUAUGGUGUUCAUUGGAGUCUAAUAUAUUAUGUCUCUGUCUGUGUGAUCCGUGAGAUUCUUGAAGUUCAGAGUUUCAUUAUUUCCUGUUAAUUACUCUUAUAUUGGGGUGGGGAUAUUGAUGUAUUGGUUCUAUUAUGAUUUUAUGAAUUAAUAAAAGCAUUUAUUUAUUAUGUUAUGCAUUCAGUUUUAAGUGAUAUUAUGGGUUCACAUUUGUAGACAAGCUAUACAAAAAAAUAUUCAUUCGGUUUGUUCCUUUUGAGUAUCAAAUCCUCUCAAAAGUUUGAUCCUUUUGGUCAGAUCCUCUCAGUCAUCACUUAGAACAGGGAAAACUCACCAAUAGGAAACAAUGACAUUUUGUAAAGCCUCAUCAUCAUAAUUAAAUCAGUUUAAAUUUCAACAAAAAAAAAUUAUUUUCAUUUUAGUUUUUAAGAGAAGUCUCAAAUACGAGUUUUUUAUGGUCUAUAUAUACUUUAUCAUUACCCUUUAUCUUAUCGUUAAUUAUUAGAAAAAAAUAAUAAUUGCGUGUUAGUAUAUUAGAGAAUAUUUAACCAGUUGUAUUUUGAUUCAAGCAAAGAUAUUCACAACAGAAAUCAUUUCUGAAAAUUGUGGCAAUGACAUCGAAGUUAUUCUAGAAUAUACUUAAUUUAAUAUACCAAUUCAAUAUAAAAUAUAAAGCUGUUUACCAAAGCAUUAGAAUGCCAACAAUUAAACAAAUUAUGGGUUACUUACUGUAAGAAAUGGUAAAUCAUGGAAAUCUUAUUUUGAAAUCUGAAAUAAUUCACAUCAAAAUAAUAAUCUACACCUAUGCACAUAACGAAAUAUGAAAUUCGUUCGUCACAAUAAAAUAGAAAUAAUCAGUUGUCGGAUAUACCAUGUCGGAUCCUUUGAUGUAUAAGCCUCAACAGAAAAAGUUUUAUCUCUAGUGCAUGGAUCUUUUGAAUAAGUUUUAUUCUUAGUGCAUGGAUCAUUUGAUUAAGUUUUAUUCUUAGUGC
rnacentral:lncRNA from 1 species